rnacentral:lncRNA from 1 species
GGAAUGUGGCUCAAGUUGGGAGGCGUUACCUGCGGAGGGUUUGAGGCACGCCCAGGAGCGAGCCCACGGUCGGCCGACGCGGGGCCAGGGGCGGGCCCCAGGAUCCGGAGCUUCGGGCGGGGCCGAGUCUGGGUUUGGGGCCCGGGAGGCGGGGCCAGUUAGGGCGAGGGUCCCUGGGAUCGUCGGGUCAGGCCUUGGGCUAACGUAGACACUCUCGCAGUACCUCCGCCUUCAGGAAGGUCUUUUUAGCAGGGGCCUUACAGGUGCACGCUUCGGUCCUGGAGGCCUUAUCCUAACCUCUCCAUCAGCGCCACCCGUCUGGGGCCCGAAAGGAGGGAGCUUUCCCUCUGUCCUCCAGCCUUUGGACUGUCUCCAAACAAGCCAUUCGUUCACCAAAUACUUAUUAAGCACCUACCAUGUGCCUGACAAGGGAGAUGUAACGCUGUUGUUCCCCACCAGAACCAAAUGAGCGCAAGAUCUGACAAAGAAAAAAAAGGUUCAUCUUUUAUUCCCCCAAACACUUUCAUUUAAAUCAAGAGGAUGGGAUGUGGUUAUUGCUGUGUUUUUAGACAGAAUCAACGGUUUCUGUGUCUGAGAUGUUGCAUACACCCUCUCAGUCCCUCUAUCCUGAGAUGGAGUCACCUGAGGAUCCACAGCAAGUCCUAACCAGGGAUGGGUCUGGGUGAUUAAGGAAGGUUGGCUUCAGAACUGGGCCAGGGGCACUGCUUUGCUUUUGCUGUUUUGAUCAGCUCUCUGCCUGCAGGAGACAAGGAAAACCAAUGGGAACAGCUGGGGAAACUGAGUUACAGAGCUUUUCUGCACUGAGUCAUCAGGAGCAAAUGCUAGAUCAGAUAGGGUCUCUCUCUCUGCCACCCAGGCCAGAGUGCAGUUGACGCAGGGCAGGGGAGCCCCGAAGUGGAGCAUAGUGUGUCCGGAACUGGUGGGUUCUUGGUCUCACUGACUUCAAGAAUGAAGCCGUGGACCCUCACGGUUCAAGCGAUUCUCCUGCCUCAGCCUCC